UGUUAUUAUUUUCAUGAAAACUCAUAACAUUAGUUUCAAAAAAAUUACUAAGUUUAUUAUUCAUCAAAUAAACAAUCAAAGCAAAAAGGCUAAAGGGAAGAAAAAUCUCUAGAGAUCGCUAUCAAGAUUCACAAUGGAACAAGGUAUAAAGAUGGCACUUUGAAGCUUUUGGAUAAAGAAGAAAAGAAGUUGGAGGCAAGAAGAGGAAAAAAAAGGAGCUAUGGAAGAAUGAAUCAAUGAAGGAAAAAUGAAUGGAGCAUGGAAAAGUGUCUAAGAGUUAAAUAAGAGCAUUUGGAAGGGUUUUGGAAGGAUUUUUGCACUAAGGUCCAAUUCAAAUGACUAUAAAUUAUUUUCUACUUAAUAUUUUGAAGUCAUUCAAAUUGGAGAUUAAAGCUCAUCUAAAGAGCUUUCCAACGACUAGUCACAUGCCUUUUUUUCAAUAAGAAAUGAAGAAGUUAUGGCCUUCCAAAACAAAGCUGUUUUCGUUAGAAACUGCUGCACGCCCGUGCCAAAAAGUGGCAUGUCCGUACAUAUCCUUGCACGUCCGUGCCAAAUUCUGCACGUCUAUGCAAGGCAGGCAGUAGCUACUGCAAUUAUUUUAACAGGUUUGCACGUCCGUGCCGAACUGUAAACAAGUUGUUUCCUCAUUUUCUCUGUCUUUCUACUUGGGGGUUAUAGCUACUGCAUUUAUUUUAACAGGUUUGCACGUCCGUGGUGAACUGUAGAUAAGCCGUUUCCUCAUUUUCUCCAUCCUUCAACUUGGGGGAUAUAUAAUACCCCUUUGGCUUCAUUUGGAGGGAGGAUCUUCUUCCCUUUUAGACUUCUUAGGCCCUUAGUUUCAUAGAACUCUCUUAAUUUAGCAUUGAUUCUCUCAAAACUCAAUCAUUGUAAUAGUUUAAUUGAUGUUUUUUCUCUUAAUUUCAACAAUUCCUCAACUUUGAAGCUUCAUUAGUAA